rnacentral:rRNA from 1 species
GAUGAACGCUGGCGGCGUGCCUAAUACAUGCAAGUCGAGCGAACGGACGAGAAGCUUGCUUCUCUGAUGUUAGCGGCGGACGGGUGAGUAACACGUGGAUAACCUACCUAUAAGACUGGGAUAACUUCGGGAAACCGGAGCUAAUACCGGAUAAUAUUUUGAACCGCAUGGUUCAAAAGUGAAAGACGGUCUUGCUGUCACUUAUAGAUGGAUCCGCGCUGCAUUAGCUAGUUGGUAAGGUAACGGCUUACCAAGGCAACGAUGCAUAGCCGACCUGAGAGGGUGAUCGGCCACACUGGAACUGAGACACGGACCAGACUCCUACGGGAGGAAGCAGUAGGGAAUCUUCCGCAAUGGGCGAAAGCAUGACGGAGCAACGCCGCGUGAGUGAUGAAGGUCUUCGGAUCGUAAAACUCUGUUAUUAGGGAAGAACAUAUGUGUAAGUAACUGUGCACAUCUUGACGGUACCUAAUCAGAAAGCCACGGCUAACUACGUG